UGUGCUUACGACCCAGGCCUGUUUUAAACUUGGUCUCGCGGGCGCCCUCCCCUUUCGACCGCGCAGCCUUCUUGGGUGCAGUGGAAGAGUCCUGGUGGUCAUAAGGUCUUGGUGCUUAAAAGAAUUGAAGAUCCUGAAGACAAGUUAUCCAAAACAGAUUUGACUUCUUCACCCCUUUAUUGAUGGACAAGUUGAUUGCAAGGGAGUAUAAAGGAUUUUUUUAAAAUGAAUUUGCAGCAUGACUGGUGGGU